UUAGGGGGUCCUAUGCAUGAUUAAAAAAAAAUCAAAGAAAUUUCCCUUGUAGACGCCGAGCUUGACUUGUUUGUUGAAGGGUAAGCUUUUAAGCAGUUUCAUCUAUUAGAUCGGUAAUCAUCAACAUUCAUUCAAGGUUAAAAUAGCAGUUGAAAUUCCGCCACUGAAAUGACAUUUUGGGGAGUAGAAAUUUUCCGUUCGAAAAUGUCAUUCUUCAACCAGAUGAAUCUAAAGGAAAGCUUCAUAUAUCUCGGGCAACUUUGGGGAAGGGCCGCAAUGAAAAUAGGUGCAUCGUUCUGUGUAGUGUAGGCGGGCGUGAUUCUGUUAACUUGUGCUCGUUGAGAGCGGAAAACAAUGAGUCCUGUGUAUUGGAUUUGGACUUUGAUGAGGACACCGAAGUUUAUUUUUCUGUUGACGGUCCUCUUAGUGUGCAUCUUACUGGGUAUUACCGCGAGAAACGUAAAUCUAGCAAGAAUGCAGAUGAGGAUGAAUAUGAAUAUGAAACUGAAGAGGACUAAAAAUGGUCAAAGGCAAUUUAAUCUCAAGUUCAGGUUAGGGCAACAUAGUAUUAUGGGGGACUAGCAGUAAAAACGGUGUGGUGUAACUAUGGAUCCUUGGUUGCUAUAUGUAAAAAAAAAAAUACUCCACAGUUGCACUUGUAUUAACUUCUGUAUUACAUGUUGAAAGAUGUUGAGCAAACUUGAGAUCAAAAAUUGUGAUGAAUGUUGCACUCG